AACAUUCUCAGCCUGUGGGCAGGCAGUUUUGAUCUGCCUCAGGUACUCGGCGUGCCGUCCCUGACACAGUUCCAGGCUCUGAGUAUUC